rnacentral:rRNA from 1 species
AGUGAACGCUGGCGGUAGGCCUAACACAUGCAAGUCGAACGGCAGCACAGUAAGAGCUUGCUCUUACGGGUGGCGAGUGGCGGACGGGUGAGGAAUACAUCGGAAUCUACUUUUUCGUGGGGGAUAACGUAGGGAAACUUACGCUAAUACUGCAUACGACCUACGGGUGAAAGCAGGGGAUCUUCGGACCUUGCGCGAUUGAAUGAGCCGAUGUCGGAUUAGCUAGUUGGCGGGGUAAAGGCCCACCAAGGCGACGAUCCGUAGCUGGUCUGAGAGGAUGAUCAGCCACACUGGAACUGAGACGCGGUCCAGACUCCUACGGGAGGCAGCAGUGGGGAAUAUUGGACAAUGGGCGCAAGCCUGAUCCAGCCAUACCGCGUGGGUGAAGAAGGCCUUCGGGUUGUAAAGCCCUUUUGUUGGGAAAGAAAAGCAGCAGGUUAAUACCCCGCUGUUCUGACGGUACCCAAAGAAUAAGCACCGGCUAACUUCGUG